GACAUAGGGCGCGAGCGUUGUCCGGAUUUAUUGGGCGUAAAGAGCUCGUAGGCGGCUUGUUGCGUCAGCUGUGAAAACCCGCAGCUCAACUGUGGGCUUGCAGCUGAUACGGGCAGGCUUGAGUUCGGUAGGGGAGACUGGAAUUCCUGGUGUAGCGGUGAAAUGCGCAGAUAUCAGGAGGAACACCGGUGGCGAAGGCGGCUCUCUGGACCUGUCCUGACGCUCAGGCGCGAAAGCUAGGGGAGCAAACAGG
rnacentral:rRNA from 1 species